rnacentral:rRNA from 1 species
GACGAACGCUGGCGGCGUGCUUAACACAUGCAAGUCGAACGGACAGGCCCUGCUUUUGUGGGGUGCUCGAGUGGCGAACGGGUGAGUAACACAUGAGUAACCUGCCCUUGACUUUGGGAUAACUUCAGGAAACUGCGGCUAAUACCGGAUAGGAGCUCCUGCUGCAUGGGGGGGAUUGGAGAGUUUCGGCGGUUGGGGAUGGACUAGCGGGUUAUCCGCUGGUUGGGCGGGUAGUGGCGUACGAAGCCUUUGACGGCUAGCCGGCCUGAGAGGGUUACCGGCGUCAUGGGGCCUGAGAGACGCCCCAGACGCCUACGGGAGGCAGCAGGGGGGAAUAUUGCACAAUGGGCGGACGCCUGAUGUGGCAACGCCGCGUGCGGGAUGACGGCUUUCGGGUGGUAAACAGCUUUCGCCGGUGACGAAGCGUGAGUGACGGUAAUGGGUAAAGAAGCACCGGCUAACUACGUG